GACGAACGCUGGCGGCGUGCUUAACACAUGCAAGUCGAACGGAAAGGCCCUGCUUGCAGGGUGCUCGAGUGGCGAACGGGUGAGUAACACGUGGGUGAUCUGCCCCUUACUUUGGGAUAAGCCUGGGAAACUGGGUCUAAUACUGGAUAGGACCAUGCUGUAGGUGGUGUGGUGGAAAGAUUAGUUUCGGUAAGGGAUGAGCUCGCGGCCUAUCAGCUUGUUGGUGGGGUAAUGGCCUACCAAGGCGUCGACGGGUAGCCGGCCUGAGAGGGUGGACGGCCACAUUGGGACUGAGAUACGGCCCAGACUCCUACGGGAGGCAGCAGUGGGGAAUAUUGCGCAAUGGGCGCAAGCCUGAUGCAGCGACGCCGCGUGGGGGAUGACGGCCUUCGGGUUGUAAACUCCUUUCAGCCAUGACGAAGCCCUUGUGGUGACGGUAGUGGUAGAAGAAGCACCGGCUAACUACGUGCCAGCAGCCGCGGUAAUACGUAGGGUGCGAGCGUUGUCCGGAAUUACUGGGCGUAAAGAGCUCGUAGGUGGUCUGUCGCGUCAUUUGUGAAAGCCCGGGGCUUAACUCCGGGUUGGCAGGUGAUACGGGCAUGACUGGAGUACUGUAGGGGAGACUGGAAUUCCUGGUGUAGCGGUGAAAUGCGCAGAUAUCAGGAGGAACACCGGUGGCGAAGGCGGGUCUCUGGGCAGUAACUGACGCUGAGGAGCGAAAGCAUGGGUAGCGAACAGG
rnacentral:rRNA from 1 species